rnacentral:rRNA from 1 species
AUGGUUGAGCAGGGGACCGAUAAUGAAGGUGCUGCCAUUCCUGUUAGUGAUGCAAUACCAAAUGAAGUAGUGAUUACAUAUGAUAAGGACCAGCCAAAAAUGGACCUUGGCACUAUGUAUCCAUCAAUGAAGGAAUUCAGGUUAGCUGUAAGACAAUUUGCCAUCAAUGAAGAGUUUGAUCUAGGCACGGAGAAGUCAGAUAAGAAGAGAUUUAGAGGGUUCUGCAAGUCAAGUGAAGAUUGCCCUUGGAGAAUUGUUGGCAGCCUACAGGAUGACAAAUGUACUAUAAAGGUGAAAUAUGGAUAA